rnacentral:rRNA from 1 species
UACGGGGGGGGCAAGCGUUGUUCGGAAUUACUGGGCGUAAAGGGCUCGUAGGUGGCCAACUAAGUCGGACGUGAAAUCUCUCGGCUUAACCGGGGAACUGCGUCUGAUACUGGAUGGUUUGAGUUCGGGAGAGGGAUGCGGAAUUCCAGGUGUAGCGGUGAAAUGCGUAGAUAUCUGGAGGAACACCGGUGGCGAAGGCGGCAUCCUGGACCGACACUGACGCUGAGGAGCGAAAGCCAGGGGAGCAAACGGG